CUUGGUGGCACUACCGCAGUAGUAGCGUAGUAUAUAAAAAAUGGGCCUUCAGCCUUCAGCUAGCUCUGCUGCAGCUCUUAAACCCCCUUUGGUAGGGCUCCUAAACUGGCUCCAGACGGAGCCCCACCAAAGGAUGCAAAAUCCAGCAGCUCCGGGCUAAAAGCCACGCUUGAAUCCCCUUGCGGCUUCCACGCAAGAGGCGAAGCCAUAAAACGAGGCUCCAUGUGGCUCUGCAGGCAUUGGGGGCGGCGGAGGGUCCCCAUACGGGCCGGAUGGCACCCUACGCUCAGGUGGAGCUGUGGUGGUAAGGCGUGGCGAACGGACUACAGGUUCUGAGAGGAGAGGCGUGGACUUACCGUGGCCCACUCCCCGGCUGUCGAUCAAGGCACGGCGGACGCACUGCAGGCUCCGAGGGGACAUGAACACGCCAUGGCCUUGCUCCACGGGGGCCGGUCAAGCCGCGGCAGCUGCAGGGCUUGGCGUCCCGACCUCCGGUGUGGUCGCCGACGUGUUUGCAGGUUAUUGUUAACUCUGCAAAUAUAAAAUUCAGCAGCACAAACAUAUUCAAAAGCUAAGGGCAUAUUGGACAUUUGACUUCUCCAAUCCAUUCAUGAAAAAUAGGAUGAAGCCGUUUGGCCAAAUAUUUUUAGAAACAGUUUCAGCUCCAUCAGAGAAACUGCUUCACUAGAGAAGCUGGAGCCAUUUUUUGAGGAGUCGGAGCUCUGCCAAAGAGGCCCUUAUUGGAUGACCCGACGAGGCGACAAGCGACGAGGUUAAGGCAGAAGCUGCAGCUCCGGUGCUCCCCGCUUCUUCCAGGCCCUGAAGAGCAGCUCGUCUCUGCUAGCUUCGUAAUUCCACUCUGUCUCUCAUCUAAAACAAGUUCUCGCCUAUAUCCCCUGAAUCCUUCACUUCCGUUGAUGCAGAUUCCACACCUUGGACCACAUCCAUCUCGUGACACCUUUGAUCUGAUUGGCCGGUGGAAUCAAAAUUUUGUUUUUUCUUUAUCAAGAAUUUGCCAAAAAAAAAAGAGAUACCAUUUGAGAUUA